AGCUAGUUGGUGGGGUAACGGCCCACCAAGGCUAAGACGGGUAGCCGGCCUGAGAGGGUGGUCGGCCACACGGGCACUGAGACACGGGCCCGACUCCUACGGGAGGCAGCAGGGGGGAAUCUUGGGCAAUGGGCGCAAGCCUGACCCAGCGACGCCGCGUGGGGGAAGAAGGCCUUCGGGUCGUAAACCCCUGUUCUGGGGGAAGAACCCUGACUGGGUUAAGAGCCUAGUCAGGCUGACGGUACCCCAGGAGAAAGCCACGGCUAACUGCGUGCCAGCAGCCGCGGUAAUACGCAGGUGGCGAGCGUUGCCCGGAAUCACUGGGCGUAAAGGGUGCGUAGGCGGCUGGGUAAGUCGCAGGUUAAAGCCCGGGGCUUAACCUCGGAAAGGCCUGCGAUACUGCCUGGCUUGAGGGCCGGAGAGGCUGGCGGAAUUCCCGGUGUAGGGGUGAAAUCCGUAGAUAUCGGGAGGAACACCGGUGGGGAAGCCGGCCAGCUGGACGGUCCCUGACGCUGAGGCACGAAAGCGUGGGGAGCAAACCGGAUUAGAUACCCGGGUAGUCCACGCCGUAAACGAUGGGUGCUAGGUCUGGGGAGGUAAACUCUCUGGGCCGAAGCUAACGCGUUAAGCACCCCGCCUGGGGAGUACGGCCGCAAGGCUGAAACUCAAAGGAAUUGACGGGGGCCCGCACAAGCGGUGGAGCACGUGGUUUAAUUCGAUGCAAAGCGAAGAACCUUACCUGGGCUUGACAUGCCAGGGUUGUACCCCGGUGGAAACACUGGGGGAGCGUAGGGGUUUACUCUACGCGCUCUGGCACAGGUGCUGCAUGGCUGUCGUCAGCUCGUGUCGUGAGAUGUUGGGUUAAGUCCCGCAACGAGCGCAACCCCUGCCCCUAGUUGCCAGCGGGUAAUGCCGGGCACUCUAGGGGGACUGCCGGGGAUAACCCGGAGGAAGGAGGGGAUGACGUCAAGUCCUCAUGGCCCUUAUGCCCAGGGCUACACACGUGCUACAAUGGGGGGUACAGAGGGAUGCGAACCCGCAAGGGGGAGCUAAUCCCAGAAAGCCCUCCUCAGUUCGGAUCGGGGUCUGCAACUCGACCCCGUGAAGCCGGAAUCGCUAGUAAUGGCGGAUCAGCAUGCCGCCGUGAAUACGUUCCCGGGCCUUGCACACACCGCCCGA
rnacentral:rRNA from 1 species